UUUUUUUUUUUUUCCACACAAACCCUAAAAGCAGUGUAGAAUGUAUUUUUCUUUUUGCGGUGACACGCAAUCAAUACAACUUUCAACAACGGAUCUCUUGGCUCUCGCAUCGAUGAAGAACGCAGCGAAAUGCGAUACGUAAUGUGAAUUGCAGAAUUCAGUGAAUCAUCGAAUCUUUGAACGCACCUUGCGCCCCUUGGCAUUCCGAGGGGCACACCCGUUUGAGUGUCGUGAAAUUCUCAAAACCCUUUCUUUGAUACUUUUGAUCGAGAAAUGGAUUUUGGACUUGGGGGAUCAAUGCUCACUCUCACUUAUUGAAGGUGGGCUCCUCUCAAAUGAAUUAGUGGGGUUCGCUUUGCUGAUCCUUGACGUGAUAAGAUGUUUUUGUUUUACGUUUUUGAUUUAGCACUGUCCCUCCAACUGUCUUAUGGACAAUGAUGGUGUUCUGGUCACCACUGCCUUCGGUGGAUGGCUGGACCCACAAGAAAACCUUGACCUCAAAUCGGGUGAGACUACCCGCUGAACUUAAGCAUAUCAAUAAGCGGAGGAAAAGAAACUAACAAGGAUUCCCCUAGUAACUGCGAGUGAAGCGGGAAAAGCUCAAAUUUAAAA
rnacentral:rRNA from 1 species